rnacentral:rRNA from 1 species
AGUGAACGCUGGCGGUAGGCCUAACACAUGCAGGUCGAACGGCAGCACAGUAAGAGCUUGCUCUUACGGGUGGCGAGUGGCGGACGGGUGAGGAAUACAUCGGAAUCUACUUUUUCGUGGGGGAUAACGUAGGGAAACUUACGCUAAUACCGCAUACGACCUACGGGUGAAAGCAGGGGAUCUUCGGACCUUGCGCGAUUGAAUGAGCCGAUGUCGGAUUAGCUAGUUGGCGGGGUAAAGGCCCACCAAGGCGACGAUCCGUAGCUGGUCUGAGAGGAUGAUCAGCCACACUGGAACUGAGACACGGUCCAGACUCCUACGGGAGGCAGCAGUGGGGAAUAUUGGACAAUGGGCGCAAGCCUGAUCCAGCCAUACCGCGUGGGUGAAGAAGGCCUUCGGGUUGUAAAGCCCUUUUGUUGGGAAAGAAAAGAAGUGGGUGAAGACACAGAAGUUCUGACGGUACCUAAAGAAGAAGCACCGGCUAACUUCGUG